rnacentral:rRNA from 1 species
CCUACGGGUGGCUGCAGUGGGGAAUAUUGGACAAUGGGGGCAACCCUGAUCCAGCCAUGCCGCGUGUGUGAAGAAGGCCCUCGGGUUGUAAAGCACUUUCAGUGAGGAAGAACGCCUGGUGGUUAAUACCCAUCAGGAAAGACAUCACUCACAGAAGAAGCACCGGCUAACUCCGUGCCAGCAGCCGCGGUAAUACGGAGGGUGCGAGCGUUAAUCGGAAUUACUGGGCGUAAAGCGCGCGUAGGUGGCUGGAUAAGCCGUUGUGAAAGCCCCGGGCUCAACCUGGGAACGGCAUCCGGAACUGUCAAGCUAGAGUGCAGGAGAGGAAGGUAGAAUUCCCGGUGUAGCGGUGAAAUGCGUAGAGAUCGGGAGGAAUACCAGUGGCGAAGGCGGCCUUCUGGACUGACACUGACACUGAGGUGCGAAAGCGUGGGUAGCAAACAGGAUUAGAUACCCUAGUAGUC